GACGAACGCUGGCGGCGUGCCUAAUGCAUGCAAGUCGCACGGGUAGCUUUCGGGCUGCCAGUGGCGCACGGCUGAGGAACACGUGGGUACCUGCCCUCCUGUGGGGGACAACCCGCCGAAAGGCGGGCUAAUCCCGCAUACGCUCGCAAGAGGAAAGCCUCGCGGCGCAGGCGGAGGGGCCCGCGGCCCAUCAGGUCGUUGGCGGGGUAACGGCCCACCAAGCCCGUGACGGGUAGCUGGUCUGUGAGGACAACCAGCCAGACUGGGACUGAGACAC
rnacentral:rRNA from 1 species